rnacentral:rRNA from 1 species
UCCUGGCUCAGAACGAACGCUGGCGGCAGGCCUAACACAUGCAAGUCGAGCGCCCCGCAAGGGGAGCGGCGGACGGGUGAGUAACACGUGGGAACGUACCCUUUGCUACGGAAUAGUCUCGGGAAACUGGGGGUAAUACCGUAUGUGCCCUUCGGGGGAAAGAUUUAUCGGCAAAGGAUCGGCCCGCGUAGGAUUAGGUAGUUGGUGGGGUAAUGGCCUACCAAGCCGACGAUCCAUAGCUGGUUUGAGAGGAUGAUCAGCCACACUGGGACUGAGACACGGCCCAGACUCCUACGGGAGGCAGCAGUGGGGAAUCUUAGACAAUGGGCGCAAGCCUGAUCUAGCCAUGCCGCGUGAGCGAUGAAGGCCUUAGGGUUGUAAAGCUCUUUCAGUGGGGAAGAUAAUGACUGUACCCACAGAAGAAGCCCCGGCUAACUCCGUG